rnacentral:rRNA from 1 species
CCCUUGUCAUUAGUUGCUACGAAAGGGCACUCUAAUGAGACUGCCGGUGACAAACCGGAGGAAGGUGGGGAUGACGUCAAGUCCUCAUGGCCCUUAUGGGUAGGGCUUCACACGUCAUACAAUGGUACAUACAGAGCGCCGCCAACCCGCGAGGGGGAGCUAAUCGCAGAAAGUGUAUCGUAGUCCGGAUUGUAGUCUGCAACUCGACUGCAUGAAGUUGGAAUCGCUAGUAAUCGCGGAUCAGCAUGUCGCGGUGAAUACGUUCCCGGGUCUU